UUCAUAAGUCAUUUAAUUCCAACACUUUUACUCACAUUGUAAAUUCAAAGUACAACAUUCAUCUUCAAAUCAAAAGCCAUGUGCAUUUCAAACCAAUAUUUUACAUUUUACAUUCAAAUUAUAACACAAUUUCACAAAUUAUUACAAGAACUACAAUUUCUACACAAUUUAAAUUUCAAAUCCAUUCCAAGCAUGUGAGCUUCAUAGCAUGGCAUAACAUUUGAUCAACACAAUCCAAGUCCCUUCCAAGCAAAAAUUGCCAAGAGCAAGCAACCAACUUCACGAGCCAUUCUCAAUAUGCAAGCAAAAUGUCCACUCUACAAGCCAUUUCCAAAAGCAAGCAAACAAUUCCAUUAUUUAAGACAUUCAAAGCGCAUGAAUUUCAUCUUUCCAAAACAUCCUGCAAAAACCAUUCCAAGAGCAUUUCAUCAAUUAACUUCACAUCAAACUAGCCGAUUAAUAUUUCCAAUUUCAAGCUAAUUUCAUUCAUUUUUUACCCAAGUUAGAAUUACAGCCCUGCAUAAUUUGUGUAACUUACAAGUCUCAGUAAGCAAGCACAUUUAAAUGUCGAGAUUCCACUAUAACAAUACAAAUGAACCACAGAGGAUCAAAUUUACUAACCGAAAUUGGAUUUGAUAACUAACUCAUUGCAUUUACAACUAACUCUAAACUCUUGAGAAUUUGAACGUAAUUUCGAUGGCAUUUCGUAACUGAUUCAAGCUCUAUAAAUCAACAAUUAUGCAUUCAUUCAAGGGGGAUCCAAAAUCAGAAAUCCAAAUUCUUCACUCAUUCAUCAAAAAUCCAAAAUCAUUCUUCAAUCUUCUUCAUUCAUUCAUACAGAAAAUCAAUCUUCUACACUAAUUCAUACAAACAGAUCCAAAAAUGAUUUUUUGCGCAUUCAAAGCACACAUACGAAACUAGCCGAGAACUAACGAUUCGACACAAAGAGAAGCACGAAGAGUAGAAGGUGAAGAAUUCAGAGACGAAGAAGAUUGAUACAUUGUUUUUGCCACCGCGUCAUCCAAUGAGUUAUUCUUACUUCAAGCCGUGUUUCGUCUCGAUUUUGUGUUGUGAUUGCAUUUCGGUUUGGAUCACAUCCGUUGAUAUUAGACGCAAUUAAGAAUGUUGUUGUUGAAUUCAUUGUUGAUGAAGCUUUGAAUCAAUGAAUUGAGAUGAUAAUGGCGAACACAAAUCCAUGAGCUUGUUGAACGAUGAAACGCGGCGCUGCCCUGACUUAUGAACAUAAGCAUGUUUUGACGUCUGCUUCAGCUUGGUGAACGUUUCUUUUGUGUUUGUAACUUAUGAACCUAAGCGCGUUUUAGAUCAUUCGCUUCAGCUGUGAAAACGCGAUGCUGACUUUUAGAACUUGUUUAAAAAAGCGC
rnacentral:lncRNA from 1 species